ACACCUGGAUGUGCUCACUCAACCAAGAAUAUAGAGAAAGAGCUUCUGCCCUGAGACUCAGAAAAAUAUUCUCCUGUGCUUUGGUUCAGUAUAGAUUUCUAAACCCUGAUCAUUGCUUAAGAGAUAUUCACUGAGGGUCCUACGUCUCUGCAAUUUGUGUAUGAAUAACAGAAUAAUUUCCCUCUUUUGUUUCGCCUUUCCUGUUCCUGAAUCUAAAUAAAGAUGGCUUUUUAGUAUUAAAAGUGGAAGAAAAUUACAGUUGCUGAGACAAAGGAAAACCCACUCCCUUGGAGGAGCAUGACCUUUUCCUGUAAUUCUUCCCACUGCUGUUGUUGAGCUCCUUGGAUCCUGGCUCCUGGACACCAUCAUCAAGAAGACUUUAUGGAUGGGCUGUCCACCCACUGAGAGAAGAGGAGCAUCAGCUACAGUUUCUCUCUAGAUUGCCUUCUUCAUUUUGAGUAAUGACUGUCAGCAGGGUCAGAUUAAACACAAAACAACUGGACAAUUGCUUGGAGGACUAAACUAUAAGGGCACUAACAUGUCAAUAGUAGGCUAACACAUCCAUGGAAAAUAUAUUUACCAGCUCUUCUCUCAGGGAGGAUUCUGUGUGGGGUUGGAAGUAAUGAUUUGUUAAAUUCCUUAGGGGUAGAAAGUAGGGCAUAAUCAGAAUAUAGAGGAAUAUGCUGUUUGACUUCAGGGUUUCUGUUUUUCUUACUAGGAUAUAUAAAACAGGGACUCUAGCUAGAUUGUUUAUGACCACAGAGGGUAGGCUGAGUGCUCCCAUGAUCUUCCUGCUUGGUUCUUGCCCAUACAGAGGUCAGCCUUUCCUCUAAUAAAGAUUGAACAAGUAGUGGUCUGAGGGAGACACCAAUUCAUUACCCUACAUGUCUCUUCUCUGCACUCCAGGGCUUUGAUAAUAAAGACACUGGCAGACUAUCUAUCUUCCAUUUCUAUAAUGUGAGCCCUUAGGGAGUCUUCGUUCACUUGGGGGUGAGGGUCAUUGCUCACAGAGUAGUUCAAGUCAAAUGGAACUUGAACUCUUUGCCUAUGGGCCUGGUGGUCAGACUCUGUGUUGAGUUCAUUAGAUUAUUGGAGACACAAGGUAGAGCUGGAUGCUUCAAAAAUAUUUGGCUAAAGGAUGACAUUGCUGGUUAUUUGUAGAUAAAGCCAUGAUGGAACCUGCUUGGAAUCAUGAAAUAUGGAACUGGUGGUCAUGUUUAAAAAUACAACUAAUAGUUAAGUACCUACUGGACACUGUAGAGACUUAGGGGCUAGACAGACAUGGUUCCUGCCCCCUUGGAGCUUACACUGUAGCUUCCCCUUAGGUAUGAAGAACAGUGGCUACAACUAACAAAUGGCCACAAAGAUAUAAUUGAGCCAGUGUUCCAAUUAUUAGGGUAAUUCCUAUUUCCUUAAUCAUUCCUAUUGACCAUGUUCUAUAAGCCUGCAUUCUAUAAAUGGCGUAUGACCAUGGGCUGUUUCCCCCCAGCAAGUUGUACAAAGUUCUGUGGUACCAGGGAAAGGGCUUAAGGUUAGCAGGGCCUCUGCGGAAGGACAUAUGAAGUGACUUGGGUUAGGAAACAGGAAGGGAUAGGAUUCAAGAACAGCUAUUGCUUCUGUUCUAUAUAGGAAACUGCAGCGUGAAAAAUGCUGGGCUGGGAAUUUUGAGACCUGGGUUUUAGUUUGUGUUCUAAUACUAACAAGCUAUGUGACUGUGGGUAAGUCAUUUCACAUUCCAUUUGGAUGCCUCUUGAGUGACUCCAGGCCUCUCCAGCUCUAAAACAUUAAGAUCAGGCCCUACGCUACAGCUGGCCAGUGUGUAAUUCUUCUGUUUCUAUGCUGUUAGGUCAAAUAGAUCUUCAAUAGUUACUUGAUUGUUAUUACUUUUUUCUGAAGUGGGUGUUUUAUCAAUGUUUUAGGAUACAGUGAGUCUGCUUCUCCCCUUUGGAGUUAGGAAGGUUGUAGGAAUAUACACUGUAGAGCAUAUGGGAGCUUUAUCCCCUCCUUUUUUCCCCGCUACCUUUCUCCCUCUCCUUCCCUUCAUCACAUUUCUAUUGAGCAUAUGCCAUUGCCGUGUACCAGGUGUGUGCUAGGUUUGGAGAUACAAGGUAAACCUGAGACUUUCCCAGUCUCCAGGAGACAAAACCCUAAUUUCUUUCAUCUGCUGUCUUUCUCUUUGGAAAGAAUCAACGAUAUCCCAGGGGAAUGUGCCCAUGUCCCAGGGUAACCAACUACAGACAGAUGCCCCAUUCUACUCAAGCAACUUUUAGAGUGCCUUGAGAUACACAUCAGAUAAUUAUGCAGGGCCAGGCAUGGUGCUGCACACUUGUAAUCACAGCACUUUGGGAGGCCGAGGCAGCAGAUUGCUUGAGCCCAGGAAUUCAAGUGUAGCCUAGGGAACAUGGCAAAACCCCAGCUCUACAAAAAAAUACACAAAUUAGCUGCGUGUGGUGGCCUAUGACAGGAGGCUGAGAUGGGAGGAUUGCUUGAGCCUGUGAGGUCGAGGCUGCAGUGAGCCGAGAUCAUGCCAUUACUCCAGCCUGGGUGACAUAGGGAGACCCUGUCUUGAAAAAAAAAAAAAAAAGAUAAUUAUUCAGCCCUAGAGUCAUUGUGAAAAGAUCUAUCUUCAGAUAUAAGGAAGAAACAAUCUUUUAUUUCUUAGGAUAAAUCUGUAGAAGGACCUCCAGACAGUGAAGGCCACUGACUACUUUAUACUCUGUAAGCCAUCCCUCCCUGGUAGGAAGGACUAUUUCCAAUCUUACAGAGUACCUCUCAGCAAAUAGACGUUUUCACAUAUACUGUGAUUCAUACAUCCCUAUGGCUGGUGACCUCUUUAAAAAGGAAAGGAAAAAGCCUAAUCAAACAAAAAGAUGCUGCUAGUAAUUCUUACCCUAUUGUGAAUCCUAUAUAAGCAAAUUUGUAUCUUUGUUUUUUCCUACAUUAGCAGAUCUAUUUGAUGUAUAUCUCUGAGUGCAGAAAAUAUUUUAUGGAAAAAUCAAUAUAUGGAAUUUCAAAUUCAGAAUUGCUGAUACACACUAUUUGGUUUCACAAUUUUAUCCUAGGAAAUAGUAUUAGAGAUUUCAAUUUCUGGCUUAAAUGGUAGAAUUAAUUACUCUUAACUCUUAAUUUUACUUCUGAGUUGAGGUCAAGGAACAGGCAGACACCUGCAGUUAACGUCUAUACCUCUCCAUGGCCAAGAGUUUUAAUUUUCUCGUCUUCAAUUUUGUAGAUGUUCAUCAUUACUAAAUGGAUUGAUUAGUAUUUUAUCUCCUCUCCUUGUCCUUACUUUCCCUCUGGUAAAUAUGUUAUAAACAGUGUAAGGCUCCUAAGAUAGAGUAGCUGGUAGGACUUAGAAGAGAAACAAAGGGCACUGAUAACUCACAUAAAUGGAAAAUUGGCUCUGGAAUAACUGACAACAUAUUCAAGUAUUUUAGUGCAGUGUCACUCUCAUUAAGAAGAAGAGAAUCAGUAAAUCUAUGUGACUCUAAACAUUCUAAUGAAAAAAGGAAUAUUCUGCCAAUUAUCUCACAUUUCUAAAUAUCUGGAUAUUGGCCAUUGUAAAGACAAAACAUACAGAUGAUGGACUUGUCUUUCCACCUCUCAUUUGCAUGGUUUGGAGCAUUGUACCUCCAGCCAUAGACUCUAAGGCAAUUUAUAUUUGCUUCCUCUUCCCUCUUGAGAGAAAACGAAAAUCUUAUUUUUCCAAGCAAUUAAAACUCUUCUGCUUCAGCUAGGAUGAAAGAAUUAGGAGUUCUGUCUCCUUGUAUCUAAUUGCAUGUUUCAUCUUUCUUGUUUUAAUGAUUGACAGAAAACUAAUAAACUGAGACAUCUUUGAAUCCAGGUUGAAUGU
rnacentral:lncRNA from 1 species